AAAAAGGCAAACUCUAGGUUUCCGUGUCUAACUUUGACUGUCCGUCUUAUAUAAAUUUUUUUAUAAUUUGUAUUUUCAUUGUUGUUAGAUGAUAAAACUUUUAUGAGUGACUUGUCUUUUUAUUUUUUUUUCAUAAUUUUUUUAAAUAAGACGGACGGUCAAACGAGGG
rfam:Oryza sativa (indica cultivar-group) chromosome 4, whole genome shotgun sequence.